rnacentral:lncRNA from 1 species
ACCAAGAAAAUGUGUAAAUUAUGAAUAACUGUUCCAAAGUGCAUAAUCCUGUUUUAACAGGUCAAUAAAUGUCAAUAAAUAAACAGACAAAUACUAAAACUACUUCAAGUAACUUGAUGGUUGCUUGAACAUCAUCUAUUUUAAGUAUUUUGAGCCCUGAUCUUACAUAGGAAUAAGAAUUAGACAAUAUGGUUACUCCUAUCUAAACUGCUAGAUUUAAACUUGAUUCUUUUAAAUUCAGAAGUUCCACGAUGUGCUGCGUUUGUUUUAUCUUCAACUAAAUAGAUAAGUAGGCAGCUUCUUCAUAAUAGUAGAUAACAAGCAGAUUAGCAGGCCUUAGAUAAUUGUUUUUCAUCUUUUUGGAGCAUCAUCUUCAUUGUUUACUGCAAAUCAUCUUCCUUGUUUUACUGCAAAGAGGAAUGUGAAAAUCAGUGACUUUCAUACUAAAACAUUUAAUAGAUUUUAAGUACAUUAUAACUUAACCAUAUAAUAAGCAUACCUUCACCAUUUCUGAGCCAUCCGUCUCAAAGAUAUUAUUAAACAAGACAAUCUUCACGUGAAUAAGAUUGUAUUGAGUUGGUUUUAUUGCAGGGUCCAAGGAACAUAUAAUAAUCUCUGAUCAAAAGAAGUAGAAUACCUUCUCUCUUUGCAGAAGCUGGAUUAAUUUUCCUAUUACCUUCUCGGUUACCUUUUGUACAAGUGAUAUUGCAAGUGUUUCAGAUUAAAAGCCAAGAGAAAACGCCUUUAAAGUUAAAUUCUAAAUUUUUUAAUAUUUAAUCAAUGAUAGACAACAGAAACCAAUAUGAUGAUAAGUUUAUAUCAACAAUCUUAUCAUGUCACUUUUGAAAUAAAAUGAUAUCUAUGUAUGGGAAAGAGAAGCAAGAACUAAAGGCCAAACUAAUAUAUUUUUGUCAAUGCAUAGUAGUAUAUAAGAGACAUCAUUUAUAUGUUACUGAAUUAAAU